UUGACCUCGGAUCAGGUAGGGAUACCCGCUGAACUUAAGCAUAUCAAUAAGCGGAGGAAAAGAAACCAACAGGGAUUGCUCUAGUAACGGCGAGUGAAGCAGCAAUAGCUCAAAUUUGAAAUCUGGCGUCUUCGACGUCCGAGUUGUAAUUUGUAGAGGAUGCUUCUGAGUAACCACCGACCUAAGUUCCUUGGAACAGGACGUCAUAGAGGGUGAGAAUCCCGUAUGCGGUCGGAAAGGUGCUCUAUACGUAGCUCCUUCGACGAGUCGAGUUGUUUGGGAAUGCAGCUCUAAAUGGGAGGUAAAUUUCUUCUAAAGCUAAAUAUUGGCCAGAGACCGAUAGCGCACAAGUAGAGUGAUCGAAAGAUGAAAAGCACUUUGGAAAGAGAGUUAAAAAGCACGUGAAAUUGUUAAAAGGGAAGGGAUUGCAACCAGACUUGCUCGCGGUGUUCCGCCGGUCUUCUGACCGGUCUACUCGCCGCGUUGCAGGCCAGCAUCGUCUGGUGCCGCUGGAUAAGACUCGAGGAAUGUAGCUCCUUCGGGAGUGUUAUAGCCUCUUGUGAUGCAGCGAGCGCCGGGCGAGGUCCGCGCUUCGGCUAGGAUGCUGGCGUAAUGGUCGUAAUCCGCCCGUCUUGAAACACGGACCAAGGAGUCUAACAUCUAUGCGAGUGUUCGGGUGUCAAACCCCUACGCGUAAUGAAAGUGAACGGAGGUGAGAACCGCAAGGUGCAUCAUCGACCGAUCCUGAUGUCUUCGGAUGGAUUUGAGUAAGAGCAUAGCUGUUGGGACCCGAAAGAUGGUGAACUAUGCCUGAAUAGGGUGAAGCCAGAGGAAACUCUGGUGGAGGCUCGCAGCGGUUCUGACGUGCAAAUCGAUCGUCAAAUUUGGGUAUAGGGGCGAAAGACUAAUCGAACCAUCUAGUAGCUGGUUCCUGCCG
rnacentral:rRNA from 1 species